rnacentral:rRNA from 1 species
AUUCCAGCUCCAAUAGCGUAUAUUAAAGUUGUUGCAGUUAAAACGCUCGUAGCCGGAUUUCGGGGCGGGCCGACCGGUCUGCCGAUGGGUAUGCACUGGCCGGCGCGUCCUUCCACCCGGAGACCGCGCCUACUCUUAACUGAGCGGGCGCGGGAGACGGGUCUUUUACUUUGAAAAAAUCAGAGUGUUUCAAGCAGGCAGUCGCUCUUGCAUGGAUUAGCAUGGGAUAAUGAAAUAGGACUCUGGUGCUAUUUUGUUGGUUUCGAACACCGGAGUAAUGAUUAACAGGGACAGUCAGGGGCACUCGUAUUCCGCCGAGAGAGGUGAAAUUCUCAGACCAGCGGAAGACGAACCACUGCGAAAGCAUUUGCCAGGGAUGUUUUCAUCA